rnacentral:rRNA from 1 species
GACUCUCGACAACGGAUAUCUCGGCUCUCGCAUCGAUGAAGAACGUAGUGAAAUGCGAUACUUGGUGUGAAUUGCAGAAUCCCGUGAACCAUCAAGUCUUUGAACGCAAGUUGCGCCCGAAGCCGUCAGGCCGAGGGCACGUCUGCCUGGGCGUC